CUUGAUAGCCCCCUACACCCACUAUCCGCCCGGGUACUACGAGCACUAGCUUAAAACCCAAAGGACUUGGCGGUGCUUUAGAUCCACCUAGAGGAGCCUGUUCUAGAACCGAUAACCCCCGUUAAACCUCACCCUCUCUUGUUCUUCCCGUCUAUAUACCGCCGUCGUCAGCUUACCCUAUGAAGGAACCACAGUAAGCAAAACUAGCACAACUCAAAACGCCAGGUCGAGGUGUAGCAUAUGAGAGGGGAAGAAAUGGGCUACAUUCCCUGCCACAGGGAAUACGAACAAUGUAAUGAAACAUGCAUUAGAAGGAGGAUUUAGCAGUAAGCAGAAAAUAGAGCG
rnacentral:rRNA from 1 species